GAUGAACGCUGGCGGCGUGCCUAAUACAUGCAAGUCGAGCGUAUGGAUUAAGAGCUUGCUCUUAUGAAGUUAGCGGCGGACGGGUGAGUAACACGUGGGUAACCUGCCCAUAAGACUGGGAUAACUCCGGGAAACCGGGGCUAAUACCGGAUAACAUUUUGAACCGCAUGGUUCGAAAUUGAAAGGCGGCUUCGGCUGUCACUUAUGGAUGGACCCGCGUCGCAUUAGCUAGUCGGUGAGGUAACGGCUCACCAAGGCAACGACGCGUAGCCGACCUGAGAGGGUGAUCGGCCACACUGGGACUGAGACACGGCCCAGACUCCUACGGGAGGCAGCAGUAGGGAAUCUUCCGCAAUGGACGAAAGUCUGACGGAGCAACGCCGCGUGAGUGAUGAAGGCUUUCGGGUCGUAAAACUCUGUUGUUAGGGAAGAACAAGUGCUAGUUGAAUAAGCUGGCACCUUGACGGUACCUAACCAGAAGCCACGGCUAACUACGUGCCAGCAGCCGCGGUAA
rnacentral:rRNA from 1 species